GGAAGUCAGUGAAGAUGUAGCACCGUGACUACGGCUUUGAUUACUGGGGAGACGGAACUGAAGUUACUGUUGAACCAGGUGAUUCCCCUCAGACUCCGUCCCUCUUCGUCCUCAGUCCUCUGUCGACUCCCGACUUCCCCCUGAAGACAGCAGACGAGCUCGGUCCAAACGUCUGUCUGGUCACAGAUUUCAGUCCAAAGGGGGGAGAAGUGGUUCUGAAUGGAAAAGGGGGUCCGGUCAACGUGAGCACUGAUGAUGCUGUUCUGUCAAAGGACAACACCUACAACUUUGCUGCAUUCAGCAACGAAACCAUCUACUCCUGUGGGAUGAACGGGACCUUUGGCAACAAUGAAGCUGAUGAUGAAUGUGGCAGCAUUUAUCCAGAAAAAGCCAAGCUGAACUUCUACCUGCUGCUGAUGAACGGAGUCCGAGUGGUGUUCACCAAAGCUCUGGCCUUCAGCACCGUCCUCACCAUCAGAGGCCUGCUCUUCUGA